AGUCGAAAGCUUCAAAUCGUGACGUUCACAACAGAGGAAAAAAGAAAAGCGCAUAAAUCGCAUUCACGCACGAACAGUAAAAUAAAGAAAUUAUUUUUAAUUAAAAAAAUAUAAAGUAUUAAUAUAUUAAAAAAAUCUCAAAAUCUUCCAAAUUAAUUUAAGGAAAAGCAAAAUAAUUUUUUUGAACGAUAACGUGAACAAAAGCGAAAAAGUUUCGAAGUGUGCUCAUAUUCAGUAUUAUCCUGCCGCGUUUCCAGCUACAGAAAUAACCGUUAAAACAAUAAAGUGUUGGUUUCUUUAUUACUUUCUUAAGAAAGCUAAAGAAACUUCCAGUAGAGCACUUGCCACAUCUACAUACGUAACGACGUAGCAUCCGGCGAGGGUUUUCUUUGUUCAAUUUGGGUACAAAAGGAAGUCCGAAAUCAUCACAGUCAACGAUCUUUCACGUGUCAGCGUGGCAAUUGUGAAAUUAAAUUUUUAUAAUAAUAUAUAACUACAUACAAAUUAACAACACAAAAAUGGCCACAUAUGCUGCAUUCAAACACGUGGAACUCUACAAUGUGGGCAAAACUAAAAAGAGGGUCCUAAGGCCUCCAGGCGGUGGCACUAGCGACAUAUUCGGCGGUGACCUUCCACAAACUCCACGCAACGUGAAAAAUCACAUGCAAUCGAAUAUUUUCUCAUGUGACAAAAAUGGCGCUAUCAAAAAUAACGUACGACAAGGAGCUCACAGAUUCUAUUUCAUUGGUGAUCAGCCACGUCGCGGACAACAGAAAGUUGAUUCUUAUCAGCGUCUUUUCGGCGAGCCAGAACGUCCAAACACUCCCGCCAGGAAUCACAUGAAGAGCAGCAUUCCAUUUGGUUCAAAUACUGAGGCCGCCCAAGAAUUGUUGGCUAACGGUAAUGGUCAUCACAGCAAUGGCAAAGGUGGUUCAGUGUCCACUUCGACAUCGUCAUCGGUAUCUUCGUCCACUGAGAACUUGAAGAUGAACGGUGUCUCAAAAUUAGGUGAGCAAAUGAGAUUAUAAAUAAAAAUUAUAUAAUAUAAUUUUUUUUUAUAUGUAUCUAAAUGUAUUGAAAGUAUUUAGAACAAUUGCAGAAAACACUCCACAAUUAUUUUUGUAUAAUUCUAUCGAAUUGAAAGUCCUUGGCUGUAUAUUGCGUUCCGAUGAUUUAGAACCGAAUGGCUGAAAAGUUUUUUUUCAUGAAAUAUGACAUAUGCAUUGUUUAUGACUACAGCUUGUUCUUGACCGUUGAACAUAUUUAUAUAAAUUUUUUGUAAUACUUGGAAAAUCAUUGCUUUCAUCAGCGAUGUUAUACCCUAAACAGGGUAUAUUAAGGUUGCCACAAAGUUUGUAACACCCAGAAGCAAACGUGGGAGACCAUAUGAAAUUUAUACAUAAAUGAUCAGCAUAAUGAGCUGAGUUGAUUAAGUGAUUUCCGUCCAUUCAUCUGUCUGUAUAUAUACGAACUAGUCGAUCAGUUUUCAGGACCACUACUGCAUAUAGCUGCCAUACAAACUAAACAAUCGGAAUCAAGUUCUUGUAUGGAACCUCUGUAUUUGUGAAGGGUAUUAUAGCUUCGUUGCAACCGAAGUUAACGUAUUUUCUUGUUUUUCCUAUCUGAAAUGUUUCCUCAAAACACUAAACUCACUUUUUUCCAUUGGAAACAAAGGUAGCGUGACUUUGAAAGCAAUAACUUGAGAACCUUUAAUAAAAUGUCUUGAACUGUGAAAGUAGUAUAGUUAAGGUUAGUACCCUAAGGCAAAGAUAGCAUUAUUUUUGAUUAAGUGCUCUAUCAGUCAACCCACUAUUUAGUGUAGGUAGUACAUCACUUCAUCCGCACCAUAAACUUAUGCCUGACAAUUCAUAGAAAGCGUUAUGAAAGGAUUAGUGUAAUAUUCGUGAUCUGAUCAUAUUUUAAAAACUUCGACGAAUUGUAUAAUAUGGAUUAUAUAUUUACAUAUCUCUCUUAAUUGCCUUUCUAGAUAGAAUGCAACGUUUUAUGUGUGGUUUAAUUUGUACGUACACUGCCUCAGAACUUCACUCAUAAACAUAUUAGAAACAUUGGUUUUCAACUCAUAAACCAAAUACAAGUUCAAACCUAUCAAAUAUUUUGUUUUGAAAAGUCAAAAAACCAUAUUAUUUUGUUUGUCAUUAAUUACAGAUUAAAAAAAAUAAAAUACAAAUAUUUUACAAUACAUAUUGUGCAUAUAUUUUUAAAUAUAAAUAAGUAAAGCAACACUUAAGAAAAUAAGUCCAUUUUUGCACGCCGCAUUUCGAACGCACCUAACACUCACUCUCAACAAUCAGUAUUCCGCAAAAUGAGCAAAGCCGAUGAAGCAUGUCCACCACUCCAUGUACCGGAAUCAAGUUCGCCACCCAGUUCCAAUACGCCACAAUUAAGCAUAGACUUGCCAUGCGAGACUAAAGCGUCUGAACAAACUGACAGCAGUGAUUUGUCAGCACGUUCUCGUGUAACAGUAAAAGACACCAAUUUAUCAGCACGUUCUAAAUUAAGUGAAUAUCCUCAAGCCACAUCACGUUCUAAAGUCCCGACAACAGACCAUGCUCUAACACGUUUCAGUUCAGCGUCAAAACAUAGCAACAUGGGCGCUGGCGAUGUCGCUUCGCAAACGCGUCGUGAAAUUGGCACAAAUUCAGACAAUCCACAUUCGUUUGCGAAAAUGCAACCCGGCAAAGAAGGUCGCCAAGAAGUGCUGGAACAGUGCGACAACCGCGCUCCACCUGCGCCAACGCCACGUAAUCCGAUAACCGGUUUGGGUUUGGGCGAAGAUGGUGUUGGAGGCAUAAAACCGAAAAAGCCAAAGGAUCGUCGAGAUGGCAAUCCCGUCACUGGUGAGGGUUACAAGCCCAGCAAUUCUUUCAAUAAUGCGGUACCCAGCCUGAAUGGUGCCAAUCAGGUCAUCAAUAAGAAUCGCAUUCCACCAGGUGGAUUCUCUUCAGGCCUCUGGUAAAUCAAGUUUAUCGCCUGUGUAUUGUUCGUUCCGUGUUUGCGAAAAAAUCAACAACAGAGAAGCGAGGGUCUGAGAUGAAGUGAUGAAACCGAAAAAAGAUAAUAAAAGAACAAAUAUAUUACACACACACAAACAACACAAUAAUAAAAAACAUCAUAAAAAUAACUAACUGAUCAUCAGCAAAUCACAUAAUGAUAACAACAGCCGUUGAAGGAUUUAAGAUGUCCUUCUUAUUAAAAAAAAAAGCAAGAAUGAAAUGAAUGUAUGGAUGGAUGUAGAGUUGCGGUGGAUAUUCAUAUAUAACUAAUCGAAUAGGGAGAAAACAUAUUAUGAGCAAAAAUUUUAAAUAUAAUAUUAAAAUGAAAGUAGUUUGAAGGCGUUGAAGAAUUGACAAAAUUUCAAAAUAACUAGUAUUUAAGCUAAUCAAGCAGAAAAGCAAAAAAAUAUCCACACAUACACACAACUACACAUACAGCCACUGUUAUACAGCGAAAUGUAGAAAUACAAACAUAAUUUAUUUGAAAAUUUGUGGUCCCAAAAACUGCUAGGAAGGAAACUGGCUGGCUGGCUGAGAAUUGACGAUUCGAACAUGAAAUGCAAACAAAAUAAAGCAGCAACAACAAGUCAAUACAAUUUAAAUUCAAAUGAUUAUGAGGUAAAAUUAACAGAAAUAUUUGAGCAAAAUCGCAUAGAUGUGGUUAAUACGGACAGCGAUGACUCUACAAGUAACAAAUGUGCAUAGCAAAAUUGAGAUUUAUGCACUCGAGCAUAAAAUCUAUAAUUUUCCAAAACUGAAUAGCGCGAAAACAUUCAAACCUGCAUGGCAUUUAGCAUUUUCGUACAAACAACCGCUCAACCAACACUACCACCCCUACUAUCCAUAGAGUCAUCAUCAUCAACAAGUUGCAAUUAUUAAGUCAAGCUUUUAAAAUUGUUCAGAGCUUUUGCAAUUCAUCAUUAUUAUAUCACAUAAAUACAUAUACAUUUGCAUCACCUGAAUACAUACACAACCUUAGCGUGUACGAAAAAUGCUCAACAACGAACUGCAGCUCAUAACAACAACUCAACGAACUUAACAAACGACGACGUCGGCUUAAACGAUUAACAGAUGUUGCUUUAGAAAUUAUAAACAAAAGACCUAAAACCAAAAAACAAACAAAAAAACAAUUUGCUCAAGUCAAAGCUGCAGUUUGUCCGUCGAAAAACAAACAUAUAAUAAUUACAAUAACAGCAGUUCAAGCGCAUAGGUCUCUUAGCAGUUUCUGUAUAUGUGUAGUAAGUUAUUAAAAAUACGACUUUAGCGCGCCAUUACAACAAUUAGCGCAUAGAUUUUGCCUUUUUCAGCCGAAGUGUAGCGCCCUUCUAAAUAUCUACCAAAAAGAAAGUACGAAAAGACACAAAACCAAACACAACCAAAUCCACCCGCAUCCAACAUCAUUCAUAACAAUAUUAAUGAACUGAAGAAUAAUAAGCUAGAACAACAACAAUGAAUUAUAAAAUAUUAAUCACUACAUCGUAAUUAAAAAAACAAAAAAAAAUCGUCAAAAAAAAAAAAAUUAUGUAACAAAACAUCAUUCAUACCAUCA